AGUAUAUAAAUAAUAAUCACAUUAUUUCAAAUCUCUUGAUCUAAUUAAUUAUAGCAACUUUGCUGGUCUUUGGACUUAACUUCCCUUAACCUGAAUCGCAGCAGAAGUGGAAAGUUCUGGCCACUGGCUCAUUCAUACACUGUAUGCAGGCUAUUUGAUAGUUUAUAAGGAGUCAAGGAAGGACUUUUUGGAAACAGAAUAUCCAACAUUACCUGAAACCGUAGAUGAACGAACAGAAAUGUCUAGAAAUGUUAUACAGAAGGCAAUAUCCAACGUUGAAAAACAUAGAUACAGCGAGAAGCUUGUACCCGUUAGUCUCUUUCGGACAAAAUUAAAAAAGAAAUGAUC